rnacentral:rRNA from 1 species
AGUGAACGCUGGCGGUAGGCCUAACACAUGCAAGUCGAACGGCAGCACAGUAAGAGCUUGCUCUUACGGGUGGCGAGUGGCGGACGGGUGAGGAAUACAUCGGAAUCUACUUUUUCGUGGGGGAUAACGUAGGGAAACUUACGCUAAUACCGCAUACGACCUACGGGUGAAAGCAGGGGAUCUUCGGACCUUGCGCGAUUGAAGGAGCCGAUGUCGGAUUAGCUAGUUGGCGGGGUAAAGGCCCACCAAGGCGACGAUCCGUAGCUGGUCUGAGAGGAUGAUCAGCCACACUGGAACUGAGACACGGUCCAGACUCCUACGGGAGGCAGCAGUGGGGAAUAUUGGACAAUGGGCGCAAGCCUGAUCCAGCCAUACCGCGUGGGUGAAGAAGGCCUUCGGGUUGUAAAGCCCUUUUGUUGGGAAAGAAAAGCAGCAGGUUAAUACCCCGCUGUUAUGACGGUACCCAAAGAAUAAGCACCGGCUAACUUCGUG